rnacentral:rRNA from 1 species
UACGUAGGGACCGAGCGUUGUCCGGAUUCAUUGGGCGUAAAGAGCUCGUAGGCGGUCUGUCGCGUCGGUCGUGAAAACUUGGGGCUUAACCCUGAGCUUGCGGUCGAUACGGGCAUGACUGGAGUUCGGCAGGGGAGACUGGAAUUCAUGGUGUAGCAGUGAAAUGCGUAGAGAUCAUGAGGAAGACCAGUGGCGAAGGCGGGUCUCUGGACAGUUCCUGACACUGAGACACGAAGGCCAGGGGAGCAAACGGG